rnacentral:rRNA from 1 species
AAAUUGAAGAGUUUGAUCAUGGCUCAGAUUGAACGCUGGCGGCAGGCCUAACACAUGCAAGUCGAACGGUAACAGGAAGCAGCUUGCUGCUUCGCUGACGAGUGGCGGACGGGUGAGUAAUGUCUGGGAAACUGCCUGAUGGAGGGGGAUAACUACUGGAAACGGUAGCUAAUACCGCAUAACGUCGCAAGACCAAAGAGGGGGACCUUCGGGCCUCUUGCCAUCGGAUGUGCCCAGAUGGGAUUAGCUAGUAGGUGGGGUAACGGCUCACCUAGGCGACGAUCCCUAGCUGGUCUGAGAGGAUGACCAGCCACACUGGAACUGAGACACGGUCCAGACUCCUACGGGAGGCAGCAGUGGGGAAUAUUGCACAAUGGGCGCAAGCCUGAUGCAGCCAUGCCGCGUGUAUGAAGAAGGCCUUCGGGUUGUAAAGUACUUUCAGCGGGGAGGAAGGGAGUAAAGUUAAUACCUUUGCUCAUUGACGUUACCCGCAGAAGAAGCGCCGGCUAACUCCGUGCCAGCAGCCGCGGUAAUACGGAGGGUGCAAGCGUUAAUCGGAAUUACUGGGCGUAAAGCGCACGCAGGCGGUUUGUUAAGUCAGAUGUGAAAUCCCCGGGCUCAACUCGGGAACUGCAUCUGAUACUGGCAAGCUUGAGUCUCGUAGAGGGGGGUAGAAUUCCAGGUGUAGCGGUGAAAUGCGUAGAGAUCUGGAGGAAUACCGGUGGCGAAGGCGGCCCCCUGGACGAAGACUGACGCUCAGGUGCGAAAGCGUGGGGAGCAAACAGGAUUAGAUACCACGGUAGUCCACGCCGUAAACGAUGUCGACUUGGAGGUUGUGCCCUUGAGGCGUGGCUUCCGGAGCUAACGCGUUAAGUCGACCGCACGGGGAGUACGGCCGCAAGGUUAAAACUCAAAUGAAUUGACGGGGGGCCCGCACAAGCGGUGGAGCAUGUGGUUUAAUUCGAUGCAACGCGAAGAACCUUACACGGUCUUGACAUCCACAGAACUUUCCAGAGAUGGAUUGGUGCCUUCGGGAACUGUGAGACAGGUGCUGCAUGGCUGUCGUCAGCUCGUGUUGUGAAAUGUUGGGUUAAGUCCCGCAACGAGCGCAACCCUUAUCCUUUGUUGCCAGCGGUCCGGCCGGGAACUCAAAGGAGACUGCCAGUGAUAAACUGGAGGAAGGUGGGGAUGACGUCAAGUCAUCAUGGCCCUUACGACCAGGGCUACACACGUGCUACAAUGGCGCAUACAAAGAGAAGCGACCUCGCGAGAGCAAGCGGACCUCAUAAAGUGCGUCGUAGUCCGGAUUGGAGUCUGCAACUCGACUCCAUGAAGUCGGAAUCGCUAGUAAUCGUGGAUCAGAAUGCCACGGUGAAUACGUUCCCGGGCCUUGUACACACCGCCCGUCACACCAUGGGAGUGGGUUGCAAAAGAAGUAGGUAGCUUAACCUUCGGGAGGGCGCUUACCACUUUGUGAUUCAUGACUGGGGUGAAGUCGUAACAAGGUAACCGUAGGGGAACCUGCGGUUGGAUCACCUCCUUACCUUAAAGAAGC